GCAGAUGGAUAGCUCAACCUGUUAGAGUGUGGUGCUGAUAACGCCAAGGUUGCAGGUUUGAUCCCCGUAUGGGUCAGCUGCA